rnacentral:rRNA from 1 species
CCUACGGGUGGCUGCAGUGGGGGAUAUUGCACAAUGGGGGGAACCCUGAUGCAGCGACGCCGCGUGGGUGAAGGAGUGCUUCGGCAUGUAAAGCCCUAUCGGCAGGGAAGAAGAAAGACGGUACCUGACGAAGAAGCCCCGGCUAAAUACGUGCCAGCAGCCGCGGUAAUAAGUAGGGGGCGAGCGUUAUCCGGAUUCACUGGGUGUAAAGGGAGGGUAGACGGCCAUGGAAGGCAGGGGUGCCAGCCCGGGGCCCAACCCCGGGACUGCCCUUGGAACUGCAUGGCUGGAGUGCGGGAGGGGCAGGCGGAAUUCCUGGUGUAGCGGUGACAUGCGUAGAUAUCAGGAGGAACACCGGCGGCGAAGGCGUCCUGCUGGACCGCGACUGACGUUGAGGCUCGAAAGCGUGGGGAGCGAACAGGAUUAGAUACCCCUGUAGUC